GACGGAGGGUGCUAGCGUUGUUCGGAAUCACUGGGCGUAAAGGGCGCGUAGGCGGCGACUCUAGUCAGAUGUGAAAGUCCUGGGCUUAACCUGGGGACUGCAUUUGAUACUGGGUUGCUUGAAUUCGGGAGAGGAUAGCGGAAUUCCCAGUGUAGAGGUGAAAUUCGUAGAUAUUGGGAAGAACACCGGUGGCGAAGGCGGCUAUCUGGACCGACAUUGACGCUGAGGCGCGAAAGCGUGGGGAGCAAACAGG
rnacentral:rRNA from 1 species